rnacentral:pre_miRNA from 1 species
UCUUCAUUCCUCGCACUCUCUCGCCUCUUUGACCGGCGAGAGAGUGUGGAGAAUGAAGAGA